rnacentral:rRNA from 1 species
GUGGGGAAUCUUGCACAAUGGGCGAAAGCCUGAUGCAGCCAUGUCGCGUGAAUGAUGAAGGCCUUAGGGUUGUAAAAUUCUUUCGUCAGGGAUGAUAAUGACCGUACCUGAAGAAGAAGCCCCGGCUAACUUCGUGCCAGCAGCCGCGGUAAUACGAAGGGGGCUAGCGUUGUUCGGAAUUACUGGGCGUAAAGCGCACGUAGGCGGACUUUUAAGUCAGGUGUGAAAUCCCGGGGCUCAACCUCGGAACUGCAUUUGAAACUGGAAGUCUUGAGAUCAGGAGAGGUUAGCGGAAUACCGAGUGUAGAGGUGAAAUUCGUAGAUAUUCGGUGGAACACCAGUGGCGAAGGCGGCUAACUGGACUGAUACUGACGCUGAGGUGCGAAAGUGUGGGGAGCAAACAGGAUUAGAAACCCCUGUAGUCC